rnacentral:sRNA from 1 species
UAUUAGUUCGUUAGUACUAGAAAGUUGUUAAAUUAACUUGUUGGUUCCACAACAUUAUUGUCUUAGCGUAUGUUGCUCUGCGUGAUAUUCAUUAAAUCAAACAAGAUAAUGAGUUUAGUCUCAGCAUGGUAUCAGUUUCUACACUCUACAACCUCUGAUUUUCUUUCUUGCACUUAUUCCAGUUUCUUCACUGGUGAAUGGAGCCAGCGAAUUACCAUUCUUGGGUGAUUAGGGAUGACAAGGUAAGACGGGUGCUGUAAAAAGGUGUGGGUAGGCUGGACAUUUAAGCUCGUCAAUCUGCAUGGGGCAGUAUAACCUGCAGCCCAUUGGCCAAAGUGUGGGUAAAGUGAUAGUUCAUGCACUUGAUGAAAAGGCCAGAGCUUAGUACAAUUUGGAGGGUCUUUGGACCUGAG